UUUAUUUAAUUAUACUAAGGGCUAAAAGCAAUUUUCUGCAAUGUUACAUUUAAAGAAUAAUUUGCCUAGAUCCCAAUUGAUAAUUGAGCAUGGGCCUUCAUCUAUUAAAAGUUAAAAUAGAUAAAAUUAACAGUGACAUCUGGCUGCAUCAUAUGUUGUCACCACUUGUGCUCCAGAUGUGUAAGGUAACACACCUCCUUUGUAACCGCUCCCUGCAUCUUGUAGAAAUGUCUGAACCUGCAACUCUGUUGUUCUACUGUUUUUGCACCCUGUUCAUCAUGUUACCAUGCAACGUUAGGAAGAAACAUUACUCCUGUCAACAUUGAUAUGCUUACUGCUCGUACAGUCAUGUCGACGGUUUCAUCUUUAUAUUGUAUAGCUUUAGGCAUAUUUUUUAGUUUAAUUUUAAAUUUAAUAUUUUUUUCACCUUGUAUAAUUUUAAGUAUACUUAGACCUGUCGCUAUUACCAACUGAUGAGGGACUAUUUUCCAUUGGAAAAUAGUCCGAAAUGCAUUUUGGAUUUUUACGGUUUUUAUACUUUGUAAUUAUCUUAUUGUACAACCCUAUCUGUUUUAUUAAAUUUUUUACUUUGA